AGCAUAAUGCUAAGUGAUUACAGAGACCAGAGCUGGAAUUUGGACAAGACAGAGCUGCAAAUGGAACGCCAGACAAGCCUGAGAUGAAGAUCGUUUGUUCUACAUUCUUCUUACUACAUACAAAAGGGAACACACAGAAGAAAGAUGAGUAUUAUUUGUUUCAAACACUACCACGAAACAUUUUCAUAAAGUAUAUAGUAGAUAUUAGGAAGUUAGGUGCUUUGGAAUGCUAAGCCUAGGGAUUUGUCACCAAAGAAACUCACAUGGAAAGCACCUGACAGAUGAAAUCGGGAAAUGGCUAAAUAAAAUGAGUGGAUCACGGUGGUUUUCUCAGUGGCCACACAGCGAGGGUUAAGAAACCACAGAAUUGGGAAUUCUUGGGCUUGACUCUUGAUUGUGAAACAGUGGCAAGUCCAGGUAGCUUGUUAGUGUCUUACCUGCCCCACCUCCUUACCAGGGCUAAUGAGCAUCAUAUACAAUGAUGAAUGGGAAAUUGUCUUGAAAACUGAAACUUAAGGUACUUUUUUUUUAAAUUUUUUUAUUUAUGAUAGUCACAGAGAGAGAGAGAGAGAGAGAGAGGCAGAGACACAGGCAGAGGGAGAAGCAGGCUCCAUGCACCGGGAGCCCGACGUGGGAUUCGAUCCCGGGUCUCCAGGAUCGUGCCCUGGGCCAAAGGCAGGCGCCAAACUGCUGCGCCACCCAGAGAUCCCCAAAACUUAGUAACCUCUACACUCAAUGUGGGGCUCCACUCACAGCCCCAAGAUCGAGAGUUGCACACCCUACUGACCGAGUCAGUAACAAUUUAGCCUCCAUCAGAGUGCCUUUCUAGGAGCUUUGGGAUCCAGUACAGUAUGCCACAGGAUCUGGGAAGAGUCUUGCCCAUCCAUGCACAGGGCCCUUGUUCUGCUCCAGGUGGGCUACUCAGCUGGAUUCCAGAGGGACGAAGUGGAAGCUGCCAGUCCAUUUAAAGGCUGAACCUGAAACUGGGAGAGUCACUUCCAACAUGCUCUCUUGGUCAAAGCAGUCACAGGCAUCAACACUGCACUGCCCUGCACUGAGCAUCCUUGACCACAUUAUCACAGUUUAUCAGAAUGGCCCCAAGGCGAUGGAGCCCAAGACAGGCCAGCCAAAGAACCUAGAAGGGAAGAAGGGAAAAGUUUUUCACUCCUGUAGUUUUGGUGCCUAAUGUGGAGCUCUCCACUGGCUGCAGCAGCUGAGAGAUCCUGGAAUCUCUGACAGGGCC